rnacentral:rRNA from 1 species
CUACGUGCCAGCAGCCGCGGUAAUACGGAAGGUUCGGGCGUUAUCCGGAUUUAUUGGGUUUAAAGGGUGCGUAGGCGGCCUGUUAAGUCAGCGGUGAAAUCUAGGAGCUUAACUCCUAAAUUGCCAUUGAUACUGGCGGGCUUGAGUGUAGAUGAGGUAGGCGGAAUGCGUGGUGUAGCGGUGGAAUGCAUAGAUAUCACGCAGAACUCCGAUUGCGAAGGCAGCUGACGGGAGCGCAACUGACGCUUAAGCUCGAAGGUGCGGGUAUCAAACAGGAUUAGAUACCCUGGUAGUCCGCACAGUAAACGAUGGAUGCCCGCUGUUGGUACCUGGUAUCAGCGGCUAAGCGAAAGCAUUAAGCAUCCCACCUGGGGAGUACGCCGGCAACGGUGAAACUCAAAGGAAUUGACGGGGGCCCGCACAAGCGGAGGAACAUGUGGUUUAAUUCGAUGAUACGCGAGGAACCUUACCCGGGCUUGAA